rnacentral:lncRNA from 1 species
UUGGGCUUGGGUGCUCCAGUACUUUGCACUCUUUUUUUAUUCUUCUUGUUCUUCUUUCUUUUUUUAAAGGGUCGACAUCCAGAAUAUGACCCUCUCACAACAUUCACCGACUCCUUGUGGAGCUGGUGAUCCUUCUCAAAGUUCUGCAGCAACCCCAGCAAACUGUGGUAGUUGACUGUAGGUUUUGUCAUUAAAAAAUGAGUAAGAAAAGAGAGGUAGGACUUGGAUA